ACGAACGCUGGCGGCGUGCUUAACACAUGCAAGUCGAACGGUGAAGCGAGUGCUUGCACUCGUGGAUCCGUGGCGAACGGGUGAGUAACACGUGAGUAACCUGCCCAUCACUCUGGGAUAAGCACUGGAAACGGUGUCUAAUACUGGAUGCGACCAACCCUUGCAUGGGGUGUUGGUGGAAAGAUUUAUCGGUGAUGGAUGGACUCGCGGCCUAUCAGCUUGUUGGCGGGGUAAUGGCCCACCAAGGCGACGACGGGUAGCCGGCCUGAGAGGGUGACCGGCCACACUGGGACUGAGACACGGCCCAGACUCCUACGGGAGGCAGCAGUGGGGAAUAUUGCACAAUGGGCGAAAGCCUGAUGCAGCGACGCCGCGUGAGGGAUGACGGCCUUCGGGUUGUAAACCUCUUUCAGCAGGGAAGAAGCGAAAGUGACGGUACCUGCAGAAGAAGCACCGGCUAACUACGUG
rnacentral:rRNA from 1 species